UCCUUUUGUGGCGCAGUUAGUAGCGCCUUGGUUUAGUAAUUAUAAGUCGUAGGUUCAAGUCCCAGUCAGGGAAA